CAGUCGCCGCGGGAAAACGUAGGUGACAAGCGUUGUCCGGAAUUAUUGGGCGUAAAGGGCUCGCAGGCGGUUUCUUAAGUCUGAUGUGAAAGCCCCCGGCUCAACCGGGGAGGGUCAUUGGAAACUGGGAAACUUGAGUGCAGAAGAGGAGAGUGGAAUUCCACGUGUAGCGGUGAAAUGCGUAGAGAUGUGGAGGAACACCAGUGGCGAAGGCGACUCUCUGGUCUGUAACUGACGCUGAGGAGCGAAAGCGUGGGGAGCGAACAGGAUUAGAUACCCCAGUAGUCCCUGUCUCUUAUAC
rnacentral:rRNA from 1 species